rnacentral:lncRNA from 1 species
UAGAAUCCAUAUAACUCUACUCACAAUUAAAGUGAGACACCUACUCCACUAACAACUCCACUCACAUCUUAUUAAAAUCUAUAUUAUCCAAAAUAUGACAAAUAUUUUGUUGAUGGAGAAAGUAAUAUUAAUUAAUAUAUUUGGUUAUGUUGCCUCGUCAAAAUAUAUCAAAAAAUCUAAAAAUAAAAUAAAAAAUAAAACCUAAUACCCUAAUUUAGUCCACCCCGGUAACGCCCGUUUCCCUUUCCC